rnacentral:lncRNA from 1 species
AAAGAAGUAGAACAUGUACUCCUAUAUAUCAAAUUAAUUUAACUUUUUUUAUUUUUCCUUUUCUUCUUCACCUUGCAGUCUUUUUGGAAGUUUCCUAAUCACCCUUUCUUUCUUUCUUCUGCUCUUGUUCUCGUCAGCAUUAAUCAGAAACAUUUAAUAAGCAAGCUCCUCUUUUCUUUUCUUCUCCUCUCGAUCCAACGCACACAAACCGAAAGGGAAGAAAAAUCCAAGAGAUCAAAAAAUACAUGCAUUAUUGCAUGAGGUUGCCAAUGGUGGG